UGCAAGUCGAGCGGACAGAUGGGAGCUUGCUCCCUGAUGUUAGCGGCGGACGGGUGAGUAACACGUGGGUAACCUGCCUGUAAGACUGGGAUAACUCCGGGAAACCGGGGCUAAUACCGGAUGGUUGUUUGAACCGCAUGGUUCAAACAUAAAAGGUGGCUUCGGCUACCACUUACAGAUGGACCCGCGGCGCAUUAGCUAGUUGGUGAGGUAACGGCUCACCAAGGCAACGAUGCGUAGCCGACCUGAGAGGGUGAUCGGCCACACUGGGACUGAGACACGGCCCAGACUCCUACGGGAGGCAGCAGUAGGGAAUCUUCCGCAAUGGACGAAAGUCUGACGGAGCAACGCCGCGUGAGUGAUGAAGGUUUUCGGAUCGUAAAGCUCUGUUGUUAGGGAAGAACAAGUACCGUUCGAAUAGGGCGGUACCUUGACGGUACCUAACCAGAAAGCCACGGCUAACUACGUGCCAGCAGCCGCGGUAAUACGUAGGUGGCAAGCGUUGUCCGGAAUUAUUGGGCGUAAAGGGCUCGCAGGCGGUUUCUUAAGUCUGAUGUGAAAGCCCCCGGCUCAACCGGGGAGGGUCAUUGGAAACUGGGGAACUUGAGUGCAGAAGAGGAGAGUGGAAUUCCACGUGUAGCGGUGAAAUGCGUAGAGAUGUGGAGGAACACCAGUGGCGAAAGCGACUCUCUGGUCUGUAACUGACGCUGAG
rnacentral:rRNA from 1 species